UAAACUAGGAUUAGAUACCCUAUUAUUCUUUAUGUUAAAUUUGAUUAGGGUAGUAUUAGUUAUGUUCUUUAAACCCAAAGAAUUUGGCGGUGUUUUAGUCUUUUCAGAGGAAUCUGUCCCGUAAUCGAUAAUCCGCGAUUAAUUCUUUCUUGAAUUUGUAUUCAGUAUGUAUACCGUCGUUAUAAGUUUAUGUUUUAAGAUUUUAAUUUACUUAUUUUUUGAUUUUAGUUUAUUUCAGAUCAAGGUGCAGCUUAUAUUCAAGUGGAGAUGGAUUACAUUAUUAUUUAAAUUUUUGGAUUUAUUAUUUGAAAUUGUUUUAUGAAAUUGGAUUUGUUUGUAAUUUAUUUUAUAAUAAUUUUUUGAUUUUGGCUCUAAAAUAAGUACACAUCG
rnacentral:rRNA from 1 species